AUGGCCACGUCUGAGAGGAGGAACUGCGCAGACAGGAGAGCGGGGUGCUGUCAUGGACACAGGCUACGGGACAGAGCACAAGCUCAGGACCCUGUGGAGCUGGGGUCAAGAUGCCAGGUGCACAAUGUCGCCAGGCCCAUGAACCCCGAAGACCUUCCUGUCUCCAGGCUCUGGGUACCUAACGGAACACAUACUUCACCCCCAUUUCUGAAAGGUGUCUGUCCAAAUCCUCACUCCAGACUGGGCAGAGAAGGCUUCUGACACAAGUGUGACUGGCUGAGCCAGAGCGAGGUCAGAGGGGCCUGGCCAGCCUGAGCUGGUCACAGUCACAGAGCACAGUGCACAGGGUGGGGUGGACUUGGGGUGGGCAGCCCUGAGAGGGAGAGGCUUGGGAGAGGGACAGGGACAGGGCGGUAGGGGCGGGGAGGGAGCAGUGCCUGUAAGGCCCUGACGCUCGCUGGGUGGGGAAUUGGGAGAGCGGAGGGGGAGGUGGCAGCAAGAUCUCUGGGCCCUGGAGGAGCACCUUCCGCUGCCCUGUUCUUCGGCUCAGGUC
rnacentral:lncRNA from 1 species